GUCCACGCCCUAAACGAUGUCAACUAGUUGUUGGUAGGGUUAAACCUAUUAGUAACGUAGCUAACGCGAGAAGUUGACCGCCUGGGGAGUACGGUCGCAAGAUUAAAACUCAAAGGAAUUGACGGGGACCCGCACAAGCGGUGGAUGAUGUGGAUUAAUUCGAUGCAACGCGAAAAACCUUACCUACCCUUGACAUGUCAGAAAUCCCGAAGAGAUUUGGGAGUGCCGCAAGGAAUCUGAACACAGGUGCUGCAUGGCUGUCGU
rnacentral:rRNA from 1 species